rnacentral:rRNA from 1 species
AGGAUGUUGGGUUAAGUCCCGCAACGAGCGCAACCCUCGCCUCUAGUUGCCAGCAUUCGGUUGGGCACUCUAGAGGGACUGCCGGCGACAAGUCGGAGGAAGGUGGGGAUGACGUCAAAUCAUCAUGCCCCUUAUGACCUGGGCUACACACGUGCUACAAUGGGCGGUACAAAGGGCUGCGAACCCGCGAGGGGGAGCGAAUCCCAAAAAGCCGCUCUCAGUUCGGAUUGCAGGCUGCAACUCGCCUGCAUGAAGCCGGAAUCGCUAGUAAUCGCGGAUCAGCAUGCCGCGGUGAAUACGUUCCCGGGCCUU